rnacentral:tRNA from 1 species
GGUGACUCAGUGGUAGAGUGCUUGCCUUGCAUGUAGGAGGCCCUGGGUUCGAUUAUUCCUCAGCACCA